rnacentral:rRNA from 1 species
UACGAAGGGGGCUAGCGUUGCUCGGAAUUACUGGGCGUAAAGCGCACGUAGGCGGCUUUCUAAGUCGGGGGUGAAAUCCUGGAGCUCAACUCCAGAACUGCCUUCGAUACUGGAGAGCUUGAGUCCGGGAGAGGUGAGUGGAACUGCGAGUGUAGAGGUGAAAUUCGUAGAUAUUCGCAAGAACACCAGUGGCGAAGGCGGCUCACUGGCCCGGUACUGACGCUGAGGUGCGAAAGCAUGGGGAGCGAACAGG